UACAGAGGGGGCAAGCGUUGUUCGGAAUUACUGGGCGUAAAGGGCGCGUAGGCGGCCUUCUAAGUCGAACGUGAAAUCCCCGGGCUCAACCCGGGAACUGCGUCCGAUACUGGAAGGCUUGAAUCCGGGAGAGGGAUGUGGAAUUCCAGGUGUAGCGGUGAAAUGCGUAGAUAUCAGGAGGAACACCGGUGGCGAAGGCGCCACUCUGGGCCGAAACUGACGCUGAGGAGCGAAAGCGUGGGUAGCAAACAGG
rnacentral:rRNA from 1 species